GCGGUUGGACACAUGGAGGAGAUAAUCAUUUUCUCAGUAUCCUCAAAACCGUGUCUUUUUGACACAACUGCUGAGCGCUACGGGGACAUAAACACAACAAAAUGCUGCUUGGAGACAAGUGUCCAUGAUAGUAGGAUUGCCAGAAGAAGACUGUAGGAGUAAGUGGAGAGGACUCCGGGACAGGUAUCAGAGAGAGAGAAGGGCAGAGAAAGAGAAGAAGAGGUCUGUGUCAGCAGCUUCAGGCCAGCAGCCUUGGCACUUCUGCCACAUUCUUUCUUUUCUGGAUCCAUUUAUUGUGCCUCGGGCAACGAGUGGCAAUUUUACAGCCAGACCCUCUACUACAUCAUCCACAAGUGUUGUCGCCACCGGUGCAUCAAGACCCUCAACGUCACCUACAAGUGUGACCACCGCCUCCACCGGUGCAGCGAGACCCUCUACAACGUCUACAUCAUCCACAAGUAUGACCACCACCGGUGCAGCCAUGGAAGAUGAUGAAAUGGAGGAAGCACCUCUGGAUCUACGACCACCUGAGAUUAUUAUGAACCUCACGGAGGUGACCACUGAGGACCUUGUUGAACAGGAUGUGGCCAUGGAGAGAAACAGAGAGAGAAACGAAGAGGAACAACGUCGCCCUACCAGGCGUCAUCGGCGGUACUAGCCCCCCAGAUCCACUCAACUCAUUUCAGCAGAGGCUCCUCCAAGCCGUCGAGAGGGAUGCUGCCCAACCUGAUGCUCACAGGUAGGAGGAUGAAGAGACCCUCUUUGCCAUGAGCCUGGUGCCAACACAGAAGAGGCUGCCUCAGCAAAGAAAAGCAACAGUCAAGGAUAAAAUGUAUCAGCUGCUUUUCGAAGCCGAGUUCAAUGGUACGUUUUUUUCUCCCCACAUCACAGGUAGUGUCAUAAGUGUUGCGACAGUGAAGUAAAGUAGGUCAUUUUUACAGUAUAGUCAUGUAGGCUAAUUGGUAUUUCAGAUCAAAGUAUUAAUGAGGCAAAUGUAUAGCUGUUGUUUCAGGGUUAGAAAAUAUCCUAAAACAACAGUUUGCUGUCUAAAUAUUUGCAUGUCAUAUCUUUUUGAUCUGAAAUACAAAUUCCAUGAGUAAACAGCAAGUAUUACGAACUUUACCACACUGUUCCAAUAUUUAUGCCACUAACUACACAAUCAGUAUUUAGUUAACAUAAAUCUCACCUUUUUUGGUGUUAUAUUAUGUUAAGCUUGAAUGUGUUGUUUUUCUCUUCCCUAUAAGAAAUGGAGUCAAUUUAGCUGACCAGCUCACAGGAAGGACAGGAGAGAAGAGAUGUCUGGUUGUUGUUUUGACCUCCCUCAUUGUACCUUUCUUUUCACACACGUCAGUUCCGUUUAAAUUCAGUCAAUUCAUAAAGUAAUUUGUUUAUAAAGUCUUAGGAUAGCAUCCAUUAUUAGUGUUACAUAGAUUUCUGAAUUGACAGAUUUGAAACUCAUACACCGGAGAAUUCACAGAUGCUCUUGUUGGUCUCUUACAAGACUAAUGGUGAAUAUAUUUCUUUAAUUUAAAACCACUUGAAAACCAGGAUGUUGAACCUGUUUGUGAAGUUAUGUUCCAUCGACUGGGGCCAUUUGUUUGUUUAGCUAUGUUAUGGUUACACAUUAUUUUAAUUUUUUUCAGAGACGGAGACACACACACGCCUCUCCUCCACUCCUCUCUGUACCUCACAUCUCCAGUGCCCUGCCCCCUCUCUCUUUAUGGCCAUGUCUGAAGUUCCCCUACUAUGUCUAGGCUUAAUGAGUAGUCCCUGUAUCGGUCUGCAGUUGUACUCUUGUUGUUCUCUUACAGAUUACAGGCUUCACAUUAAUUUUUUAAAUUGUUUUAAACAUACACCUCUUUCAAUAGUUACAUUUAAAAAUAAAAAUAAACAUUUUUACAACACACAUACCUGUCAUGUUCUUUCCUGUACUUGAAUACUUAUUAAAUUAUGUUUCCAAA